AAAAUCCGUCAUACUGCCUGGGAACUACGGGGAACGCUCUAAAACUCGAGGGACUUGGCGGUGCACUAAUCCCCCCAGGGGAACCUGGCUCUUAAUUCGAUGAUCCGCGAACCUCUUACCUUUUCUAGCUUUGUUUAUCUUUGCAAAAAGUAAACGAAAAUCAGCUCGCAUACCGCCGUUUCGUAGCCUGUAUCGUGAGAGGACAUAAACAGGCGUCCUAGUAGCACCCAUACAGCUAAAUUAAGUGUUUCUCUAAUAAUUCAGGUAAACGUGCGGCCUAUGAAAAGGGGAAGCUGGGUUACAAUUGGGGUUUGUAAUGGCGUGACUACCCUAAAGGGUAAGACAAAAGAGGACUUGGAAGUAAUGGCCUUGGGCAAUGAGGCCGUGAAUGUUGCUCUAGUGUGUGU
rnacentral:rRNA from 1 species